AGUCGAGCGGUAGCACAGAAGAGCUUGCUCUUUGGGUGACGAGCGGCGUUCGGGCGAGUAAUGUCUGGGAAACUGCCUGAUGGAGGGGGAUAACUACUGGAAACGGUAGCUAAUACCGCAUAACGUCGCAAGACCAAAGUGGGGGACCUUCGGGCCUCAUGCCAUCAGAUGUGCCCAGAUGGGAUUAGCUAGUAGGUGAGGUAAUGGCUCACCUAGGCGACGAUCCCUAGCUGGUCUGAGAGGAUGACCAGCCACACUGGAACUGAGACACGGUCCAGACUCCUACGGGAGGCAGCAGUGGGGAAUAUUGCACAAUGGGCGCAAGCCUGAUGCAGCCAUGCCGCGUGUAUGAAGAAGGCCUUCGGGUUGUAAAGUACUUUCAGCGAGGAGGAAGGCAUUAAGGUUAAUAACCUUAGUGAUUGACGUUACUCGCAGAAGAAGCACCGGCUAACUCCGUGCCAGCAGCCGCGGUAAUACGGAGGGUGCAAGCGUUAAUCGGAAUUACUGGGCGUAAAGCGCACGCAGGCGGUCUGUCAAGUCGGAUGUGAAAUCCCCGGGCUCAACCUGGGAACUGCAUCCGAAACUGGCAGGCUAGAGUCUUGUAGAGGGGGGUAGAAUUCCAGGUGUAGCGGUGAAAUGCGUAGAGAUCUGGAGGAAUACCGGUGGCGAAGGCGGCCCCCUGGACAAAGACUGA
rnacentral:rRNA from 1 species